UUUUUCAUAAAAUAUCAUGGCUACACCCUGGGGUGGGGGAAGAACCUUUCCGUGAUGUCCACCUAAACCCUACAGCUGUUACAGCUCCAGCCGUUCCCUUGGGUCCUGUCCCUGGUCACACAGAGCAGAGAUCAAGGCCUGCCCCUCCCCUUCCUCUUGUGAGGAAGCUGCAGAACUGCUGUGAGCUCUGACCUCAGUCUGCUCUUCUCCAGCUGAACAGACCAAGUGCCCUCAGCUGUUCCUUGUGCAGCUUUCUCUUUAGGCCCUUCACAUCUUCAUGUCCCUCCUUUGGAUGCUCUCGAACAGCUUUAGAUCUUUCUUACAUUGUGGCACCCAAAACCACACACAAUAUUUAAAGUGAAGCCAACCCAGCCCAGAGCAGAGUGGGACAAUCCCCUCACUGGCUCUGUCACCGAUGCUAGGACGGGAGAAAUGUGGGGAGCGCCUGUGUUAUCCCUGUGCUGCCUCAAGUGGAAGCUGGAGGCCAAUCCAGGAGAACCAAGGCCUCUCAGAACCAAUACUAAUGAUACUGCUUUCAUUAAAAAUUACCAUCAUAAAAUCAUAGAUUCAUAGAGUAUCCUGAGCUGGAAGGGACCCACAAGAAUCACUGAAGCUCUGCACAGGACAUUCUCAAGACUCACACAUCUUAAUUCUACUUCUCCAAAGAAAUUUAAAUAAUGGCUAAUGCAAUAAAAAUAUCAUAUGGAAUUGGUCGCAGA